GGGCCGGUAGCUCAGCUGGUAGAGCAGGGGACUUUUAAUCCCAAGGUCGCGAGUUCGAGUCUCGCCCGGCCCA
rnacentral:tRNA from 1 species